rnacentral:misc_RNA from 1 species
AACGCACAUUGCGCCCUAUAGUAUUCUGUAGGGCAUGCCUGUUCGAGCGUCAUUUCUCAUCUCAAGCUCUGCUUGGUACUGGGCAGUGUCCGUGAAGGACUUGCCUCAAAACUAUUGGCGGCUGGUGUUGAGGCCGAAUGAAUGCAGUACAUGCAAUCGUCUACCUCAGUGACUCCCUCCACAAGCUUCUAUCACACAGAUUGACCUCGGAUCAGGUAGGGAUACCCGCUGAACUUAA